rnacentral:rRNA from 1 species
UACGUAGGGUGCAAGCGUUGUCCGGAAUUAUUGGGCGUAAAGAGCUCGUAGGCGGUCUGUCGCGUCGGAUGUGAAAAUCCAGGGCUCAACCCUGGACCUGCAUUCGAUACGGGCAGACUAGAGUUCGGUAGGGGAGACUGGAAUUCCUGGUGUAGCGGUGAAAUGCGCAGAUAUCAGGAGGAACACCGGUGGCGAAGGCGGGUCUCUGGGCAGUAACUGACGCUGAGGAGCGAAAGCGUGGGGAGCGAACAGG